GAUUUGUGGUGCAAAAAUACGUCAGUUAAAGUCUCAGUCCAUGUUGUUCAAACUAUCAUCCUCGUAUGGUCUUGUCCUUACGAAGAUAUCAAUGAAGUUAUUGCUACAAAUCUCCUGGUGUUAACUUUUGAUGAAGUUGAUGCUAGUUAGCCAUAAUUUUUUCUGGUUUUCGACGAUUGUUGCCUGCUUUGGAUUGCGUCCAACCUUUGGUGGAACCUACAAUGGUGCAUGUCUUGACACUUUGAAUUAGCUUGGCCUGCAUGGUAUCAGGCUUUAGAAUCAUUGUUCACUUCACAGGACUAGUGCAAAAGUUCUUGUAGGAAUCACAGCUGCUAAAGGUAAUGUGCCAUUAAGCUUGUGUGGAUUGGAAUUCAUUUGUGGUCAUUCUUGCAUAAGGUUGAGAUGUUAUUUGCCAAAGAUAUUAGCCACGGCUCGAUGUACUACAAAAACAUUCUUGUGGGUAACUUUAUUUG
rnacentral:misc_RNA from 1 species